UACGAAGGGUGCAAGCGUUACUCGGAAUUACUGGGCGUAAAGCGUGCGUAGGCGGUUUGUUAAGUCUGUCGUGAAAGCCCCGGGCUCAACCUGGGAAUGGCGAUGGAAACUGGCGAGCUAGAGUACGGUAGAGGAGAGUGGAAUUCCCGGUGUAGCAGUGAAAUGCGUAGAGAUCAGGAGGAACAUCAGUUGCGAAGGCGGCUCUCUGGACCAGUACUGACGCUGAGGCACGAAAGCGUGGGGAGCAAACAGG
rnacentral:rRNA from 1 species